CCCUUAGAUGUUCUGGCUGCACGCGCGCUACACUGAAGCGUUCAACGAGUAUUUCACCUUGCCCGGGAGGGUUGGGUAAUCUUUUUAAAACGCUUCGUGAUGGGGAUAGAUUAUUGCAAUUAUUAAUCUUCAACGAGGAAUUCCUAGUAAGCGCGAGUCAUCAGCUCGUGCUGAUUACGUCCCUGCCCUUUGUACACACCGCCCGUUGCUCCUACCGAUUGAGUGAUCCGGUGAAUAAUUCGGACUGCAGCAGUGCUUGGUCCUCCGGGCUUUGCAGCGGAAAGUUUAGUGAACCUUAUCGCUUAGAGGAAGGAGAAGUCGUAACA
rnacentral:rRNA from 1 species